GUGCUGGAUUGAUGGUUGGAUUUGAUGGUCUUGGAAGUCUUUUUGAACCUAAACACUUCAAUGAUUCAGUGAUACCAUAAAGAAUCUUAUAAGCAUUUCCAGCUGUGCAUAAUGGUUCAUGGUAUUUCAUUGAUUGGUUCUUGAUUGGCUCUUGGGAGCCUGAUCUUUGUGCUGGGAGGAGUCAGCACUGGUUGCUCCAUCAGUGUAAUAAAAGGUCACCCUUGGAUUUGUAGGAGCCCAUAAAGAAACCUUCCAGAGGAUUUGGGUGAGACAUCUUGUAUCUUGCCUGUUGUUUUUUUCCUUAGUCUCCAGGUGUGUUCUUGGAGGAUGAAGACAAUUCUUCAGGAUGGGUGUAACUAUUGAUGCUCCUGGAAAAAGUUGCAAAAGAUCCUCUGCCCUCUGGGUCAUUAUCACCUCUGUGUCUCCAUUAGGCUGUGCACUGCUCAGCAAGCUGAGGCACUUUGGGCCAGCUGCAUCCCUGCAGGGAUGGACCUGACCCCAGCUGAGUCCUGCAGAGGACCCAGCUUAUUCAGAAUGCGGGAGAAGCAGCUCAGGCUCAGCAUGUGGGUGAGAGCCCAUGGUUACACCCUUUGUGGAGCAGCCCCCGUGUCAGGGCUGGGGAUUGCCUCAGCACUCUGUUAUGAUGAAGUAAGAGAAGGUCAUCUUGUACCAAAACCUCACAAAUUAAGUGUAGCACAGGAGACACAGGCUUCAGACACAUUUCUUGGGUAUUUUUGUUCUCUUAUGACCUCCAGCUCAGGUGCAUCCUGCAAAAACAAGAAACUCCUCUCCCUCCUCCAGGGAUGACACUGUACCUUUGGAAGAGUGAAUCCCUGCCACCAGGGGGGUAACCCAGGGCUUAUUGACCCAGAUCGUGGUGGCUCACUUCCAUCCAGGGGUUCAGGGAGAGAAAAUGUGGCACUUACUGCACUGAAAAAUGCACCAAGACCAAAUCCACCAGCACCCACCUGCACCCCAGUAACUUCUGGUAGGAAACCAUUUGGUGAGAGCCUCUGUCCUGCCCCCACUGCACUCACUGAAAAACUGCACCCAGGCAAGCCACCUGACAAUGAGCAUAGGUAUCAAAUGAGAUCUGUUUCUGGUGUGUUAUCAACAGCUGCAAACCAUGAGUUUUUUAGCUCUCCACAGAGUGAGGGUGAAGAUUUCUAAAGUGACUUGUGGGCUUCAGGUGCAGCUCAUGCACUUGAUAGACUCCACUCCCACUGGAGUGAAGACUUCUGCAGCUGCAUCAGAAAAAUGUUCCACCAGAGUAAACCCUGUUUCAGACUUCUUUGCUCAUCUAGAGACAACCCAAAAAUCAGAAGGUAAAAGUUUGGCCCCAGGGAAUUCAAAUACUUCAAUAGGACCAGAUUUCAUGCAAAAAAUCUGUUUACAGAGGAGGGACAAGGAACCAACCGUGUAUUGAUGGAAGAAGUUAGUUUGACCACUGUAUAUUUGUUAGAUAUAAUUAAGCUCAAUAGUUUUAUUUUCUGUGGUUCAUUUGUAUAAAAGUACCAUUGCCAGGAAAAGGUUGGCAUUAACCCUCAGCAAUAGAGAUUUUAUAAAGCAUUUAUAGGCGAGAAAUGCAUACAUGCUUGAUCUCUCUUAAAAUGUUUCCUUUGAAUUCUCCUUUGAUUAAAAAAGAAAAUCAAAUGUCUAUUCUCAAUGUAGCAUCAAAUUAAACCACAUGAAACAAAACUAAGCAAAGUGCCAAAACAUUUGUACCCUGUGCUGUGUUUAUCUGCACGUGUGCGUUCCUGUGGGUGUAUUUUUAUAUCUGCCCAAGUCAUCUCAUGGCAUCAGGGCAAUUAGGGAUGUGAGGGAUUCCUGGGUGCUGAGUUUUGGAAACAUGUUUAUUGAUAGGGAGGUAUUUCUCGCCUUGGCAUCUGAGCACAGUGAGGACUCCUCAUCUUCCAUGGGGGAAGCUCAAGAAGGAG